CAAAGAUCCACAGACAUUGUUGUGAAUUCAAACAGUCCAGAAAGUGUUCCAGAUUCGACUGUUAUUUCUACUUUGAUUACUGGCAUCACAGUGAGACCAACUACCAGUUUGACCUCUCCUUUGACCCCCAGCACAGCAGUGAAUCCUACAUCAG